CCUACGGGAGGCAGCAGUGGGGAAUAUUGCACAAUGGGGGAAACCCUGAUGCAGCGACGCCGCGUGAGUGAAGAAGUAAUUCGUUAUGUAAAGCUCUAUCAGCAGGGAAGAAAAUGACGGUACCUGAGUAAGAAGCCCCGGCUAACUACGUGCCAGCAGCCGCGGUAAUACGUAGGGGGCAAGCGUUAUCCGGAUUUAAUGGGUGUAAAGGGAGCGUAGACGGCAGUGCAAGUCUGGAGUGAAAGGCUGGGGCUCAACCCCCGGACUGCUCUGGAAACUGUACGGCUGGAGUGCAGGAGAGGUAAGUGGAAUUCCUAGUGUAGCGGUGAAAUGCGUAGAUAUUAGGAGGAACACCAGUGGCGAAGGCGGCUUACUGGACUGUAACUGACGUUGAGGCUCGAAAGCGUGGGGAGCAAACAGGAUUAGAUACCCCUGUAGUC
rnacentral:rRNA from 1 species